ensembl:misc_RNA Metazoa_SRP Metazoan signal recognition particle RNA
GCCAGGUGUGAUGUCAUGCACCUUAGUCCCAGCUAUUCUGGAGGCUGAGGCAGGAGGAUCGCUCGAGCCCAGGAGUUCUGGGCUGUAGUGUGCUAUGCCAAUUGUGUGUUCACACUCAGUUCAGCAUCAAUAUGGUGACUUCCUGGGAGCAAGGGACCACUAGGUUGCCUAAGGAGGGGUAAACCAGCCCAGGUCAGAAAUGGAACAGGUCAAAACUCCUGUGCUGAUUAGUAGUGGGAUCACACCUGUGAAUAGCCACUGCACUCCAGCCUGGGCAACUUCAUGAGAUCCCAUCACUU